GACGAACGCUGGCGGCGUGCCUAAUACAUGCAAGUCGAGCGAGCGGAACCAACAGAUUUACUUCGGUAAUGACGUUGGGAAAGCGAGCGGCGGAUGGGUGAGUAACACGUGGGGAACCUGCCCCUAAGUCUGGGAUACCAUUUGGAAACAGGUGCUAAUACCGGAUAAUAAAGCAGAUCGCAUGAUCAGCUUUUGAAAGGCGGCGUAAGCUGUCGCUAAGGGAUGGCCCCGCGGUGCAUUAGCUAGUUGGUAAGGUAACGGCUUACCAGGGCGACGAUGCAUAGCCGAGUUGAGAGACUGAUCGGCCACAUUGGGACUGAGACACGGCCCAAACUCCUACGGGAGGCAGCAGUAGGGAAUCUUCCACAAUGGACGCAAGUCUGAUGGAGCAACGCCGCGUGAGUGAAGAAGGUUUUCGGAUCGUAAAGCUCUGUUGUUGGUGAAGAAGGAUAGAGGUAGUAACUGGCCUUUAUUUGACGGUAAUCAACCAGAAAGUCACGGCUAACUAC
rnacentral:rRNA from 1 species